UUAAUUGUUAGUUGUUUAUAUAAAUUUUGAGUUUUUGACUUCGUAGAUGGAAGAUGACGAUUAAGAACAGGGAGAAUCGAAACCUCUGUUGGCGAAGUUUGGAUUUGCUGCUGUUGCUCUUUCUUUUACUGGGUUUCUUUGUUCUCGAUUUAAAAUCCUAAAUCGUGUUUCAGAUGGUCGCGGUGAGAUUGAUUCCAGUGAGAACGACCGGAGUAGAGGCGGUAUCCGAGCCUUAAAGACGUCACCAACUUCAGACCAUGAAGAGGUGUUGAAGCAACAAACAAAUGAUUCCCGGAGCAUUAGACAAGAUGGAGAUGUGUUUUUCUUUACACAAUUUGAUGAUCUUCUUGAGGAAUUUGACUUUUCUGAUGUUGUUGGAUCUUCUCCGAAGCAGGAAGUUUGAACACCAUGGUCGGAUCUUGACACUUUGAGAACGUUUAGAACUGUUGAAAAGGAUGGUUACGAGCAAGACAUUGAGCACUUACGAAAUACUGUAAGAGUGCUUAGGGAGAAGGUGCAGAAUCUCGAGGUCCAGCUGCUUGAAUAUUAUGGCCUUAAAGAACAAGAAACAGCGGUUUUGGAGCUCCGAAACCGAUUGAAGAUAAACAAUAUGGAGGCUAAACUUUUCCGUUUGAAGUUUGUGUCCUUACAGUUGGAGAAAUAACAAUUAGAGGGCCAAGUCGCCGAUCAUGCAAAAGCUGUAGUUGAGCUUGAAAGUGCAAGAUCUAAAAUCAAGGUGCUUGAGGAGAAACUUCAGCAUGAGGCUGAGAUGAAUAAAGAGCAUAUCCUAAACUUUCAAAAGAGGGUUUAUAGAUUGCAAGAGCAAGAAAUGAAGGUUCCAACAAAUAACCCGGAUAUCGAAUCGAAAUUAAAAAGGCUAAGGUUUUGGAAUGUGAGAUAGAAGAGUUGAGGAAAUCAAAUACAAGAUUGGGUAUAGAAAAUUCCGAACUGGCUCGGAAGUUGGAAUCGACUCAAGUCUUUGCAAUUUCUGUUUUGGAGGAUCCUGAGGUAGUUUAAAUUCAUUUCUGGUGAAUCCUGUUCCUUUACAUGGUUACUAAUAUUAUUGUUCUCGGAUUUCUUUUUCGGGUGCGUUUGG